rnacentral:rRNA from 1 species
UAGUCCACGCCGUAAACGAUGGAUGCUCGAUGCUGGUCCGUUUCAGGGGCAGUGUCCAAGCUAACGCGUUAAGCAUCCCACCUGGGGAGUACGAUCGCAAGGUUGAAACUCAAAGGAAUUGACGGGGGCCCGCACAAGCGGUGGAGCAUGUGGCUUAAUUCGAUGCAACGCGAAGAACCUUACCCAGGCUCGAACACUACCGGACAGCCCCCGAAACGGGGUUUUCUUCGGACUGGUAGUGAGGUGCUGCAUGGCUGUCGUCAGUUCGUGUCGUGAGAUGUUGGGUUAAGUCCCGCAACGAACGCAACCCCUAUCGCUAGUUACCAGCGGGUUAUGCCGGGGACUCUAGCGAGACUGCCUGCGCAAGCAGUGAGGAAGGUGGGGACGACGUCAAGUCAUCAUGGCCCUUACGCCUGGGGCUGCACACGUGCUACAAUGGCCAGUACAAUGGGCUGCCACCCCGCGAGGGGGAGCGGAAUCCAUAAAGCUGGGUCUCAGUUCGGGAUCGGGAGU